CCUACGGGUGGCAGCAGUGAGGAAUAUUGGUCAAUGGACGAGAGUCUGAACCAGCCAAGUAGCGUGAAGGAUGACUGCCCUAUGGGUUGUAAACUUCUUUUAUAUGGGAAUAAAAUGUUCCACGUGUGGGAUUUUGUAUGUACCAUAUGAAUAAGGAUCGGCGAACUCCGUGCCAGCAGCCGCGGUAAUACGGAGGAUCCGAGCGUUAUCCGGAUUUAUUGGGUUUAAAGGGAGCGUAGGUGGAUUGUUAAGUCAGUUGUGAAAGUUUGCGGCUCAACCGUAAAAUUGCAGUUGAAACUGGCAGUCUUGAGUACAGUAGAGGUGGGCGGAAUUCGUGGUGUAGCGGUGAAAUGCUCAGAUAUCACGAAGAACUCCGAUUGCGAAGGCAGUUCACUGGACUGCAACUGACACUGAGGCUCGAAAGUGUGGGUAUCAAACAGGAUUAGAUACCCGAGUAGUC
rnacentral:rRNA from 1 species